UACAGAGGGUGCAAGCGUUGUCCGGAAUCACUGGGCGUAAAGGGCGCGUAGGCGGCCUGAUAAGUCGGGGGUGAAAUUCUGCGGCUUAAACCCGCAGGACGGCCUUCGAGACUGUCGGGCUUGAGCACGGUAGAGGCAGGUGGAAUUCCCGGUGUAGCGGUGGAAUGCGUAGAGAUCGGGAAGAACAUCGGUGGCGAAGGCGGCCUGC
rnacentral:rRNA from 1 species